rnacentral:rRNA from 1 species
AUUGAACGCUGGCGGCAGGCUUAACACAUGCAAGUCGAGCGGGGGAAGGUAGCUUGCUACCGGACCUAGCGGCGGACGGGUGAGUAAUGCUUAGGAAUCUGCCUAUUAGUGGGGGACAACAUCUCGAAAGGGAUGCUAAUACCGCAUACGUCCUACGGGAGAAAGCAGGGGAUCUUCGGACCUUGCGCUAAUAGAUGAGCCUAAGUCGGAUUAGCUAGUUGGUGGGGUAAAGGCCUACCAAGGCGACGAUCUGUAGCGGGUCUGAGAGGAUGAUCCGCCACACUGGGACUGAGACACGGCCCAGACUCCUACGGGAGGCAGCAGUGGGGAAUAUUGGACAAUGGGGGGAACCCUGAUCCAGCCAUGCCGCGUGUGUGAAGAAGGCCUUAUGGUUGUAAAGCACUUUAAGCGAGGAGGAGGCUCUUUUGGUUAAUACCCAAGAUGAGUGGACGUUACUCGCAGAAUAAGCACCGGCUAACUCUGUGCCAGCAGCCGCAGUAAAAC